AAAUAAUUAAGUAGUAAAUACGGGGUCUUUUUGUAAACACUACCAAAUCAUGUGCUCAAAUUAUCAACAUAUUUUUUGAUAUUUGCUGUACAAUAUAUUAAUCUUUAUAGAUAAUUCUAAUAUUACUGUUCGGUUGUAUUUGUCAAACGUUUAGAGCCAUUAACGAUCACGCGAAAAAGUUAAAAUUGUAAUGAUUGCCAGUUAUUAAAUUCUUGCUGUUAUUAUCUAUAACUAUGUGGGAAAUCCAGCGCUGUAAUAUUUUCUUAAUGUCAUCAGUUUUAAUCAUUUACUUUCGUUCGCCAUCAUCUGUCAUAGUUUAGGUACAUCAUCGCGCGCUGUGCUCAUACAAAAAUUCUGGUAGACCGAAUCCAAUUCUGGUAAUCGUAACAUUUUUUUUUUCUUCAUAUACAUGUAUACAUCAACGAG